rnacentral:rRNA from 1 species
GAUGAACGCUGGCGGCGUGCUUAACACAUGCAAGUCGAACGGAAAGGCCCAAGCUUGCUUGGGUACUCGAGUGGCGAACGGGUGAGUAACACGUGGGUGAUCUGCCCUGCACUUCGGGAUAAGCCUGGGAAACUGGGUCUAAUACCGGAUAGGACGAUGGUUUGGAUGCCAUUGUGGAAAGUUUUUUCGGUGUGGGAUGAGCUCGCGGCCUAUCAGCUUGUUGGUGGGGUAAUGGCCUACCAAGGCGUCGACGGGUAGCCGGCCUGAGAGGGUGUACGGCCACAUUGGGACUGAAAUACGGCCCAGACUCCUACGGGAGGCAGCAGUGGGGAAUAUUGCACAAUGGGCGCAAGCCUGAUGCAGCGACGCCGCGUGGGGGAUGACGGCCUUCGGGUUGUAAACUCCUUUCGCUAGGGACGAAGCGUUUUUGUGACGGUACCUGGAGAAGAAGCACCGGCUAACUACGUG